AGAACGAACGCUGGCGGCAUGCCUAAUACAUGCAAGUCGAACGAACUCUUCGGAGUUAGUGGCGCACGGGUGCGUAACGCGUGGGAAUCUGCCCCUUGGUUCGGAAUAACAGUUGGAAACGACUGCUAAUACCGGAUGAUGACGAAAGUCCAAAGAUUUAUCGCCAAGGGAUGAGCCCGCGUAGGAUUAGCUAGUUGGUGAGGUAAAGGCUCACCAAGGCAACGAUCCUUAGCUGGUCUGAGAGGAUGAUCAGCCACACUGGGACUGAGACACGGCCCAGACUCCUACGGGAGGCAGCAGUAGGGAAUAGUU
rnacentral:rRNA from 1 species